CCUACGGGAGGCAGCAGUAAGGAAUAUUGGUCAAUGGACGCAAGUCUGAACCAGCCAUGCCGCGUGAAGGAUUAAGGUCCUCUGGAUUGUAAACUUCUUUUAUAUGGGACGAAAACAGAUCUUUCUAGGUCCUUUGACGGUACCAUAUGAAUAAGCACCGGCUAACUCCGUGCCAGCAGCCGCGGUAAUACGGAGGGUGCAAGCGUUAUCCGGAUUCACUGGGUUUAAAGGGUGCGUAGGCGGGUAGGUAAGUCAGUGGUGAAAUCCUGGAGCUCAACUCCAGAACUGCCAUUGAUACUAUCUAUCUUGAAUAUUGUGGAGGUAAGCGGAAUAUGUCAUGUAGCGGUGAAAUGCUUAGAUAUGACAUAGAACACCCAUUGCGAAGGCAGCUUACUACGCAUAUAUUGACGCUGAGGCACGAAAGCGUGGGGAUCAAACAGGAUUAGAUACCCUGGUAGUCCACGCCCUAAACGAUGGAUACUCGACAUACGCGAUACACAGUGUGUGUCUGAGCGAAAGCAUUAAGUAUCCCACCUGGGAAGUACGUUCGCAAGAAUGAAACUUAAAAUGAAUUGACGG
rnacentral:rRNA from 1 species